AAGAAAGAAAAAUUCAUAAUAUAACUGAUGUUUAGUCACAAAGACUCAAACAGACUUGUAAGUUCAGAUGAAUCCGACUUAACUAAAAAGACAUAAAACCUAAGAGUACGCAGCGGAAAAACAUAAUCUGACUACAUGUAUGAAGACAUGUAUCCAAGAGUUCAUUCAUUCAACCUAAGACAAAAGCUCCGCUCGUCACUUCAUCACCAUCAGCCAUUGCUCAACCUGCACAUUUAAAAAUAUAUGCAGGGCUGAGUAAGAGAGUACUCAGUGGGCACGUAUGCCUAAUAUACACAUCAUCUCUUAAAAACUAUAAAUUGUCAUGCCAUCAUAAACAGUACAUCGAGGGAGUUUUAACUAAAAGGCCCAAGCUUACUAAAUUCAUUUGUGAUUCUUAAAGUUCGACUGCAGUCUAAGUUCUCAUAAUCUAUCAUAUCUGAAGCUGCGUGCCGGAGAGGUGGCCACCUCUCAACGGACACCGGACCGGCCAACCCGCUAGAUGACUCACGGUCCCUCGUGUACACUAGUCAAGGCAGGAUAGCUAGGGAUGUCAAUGCAGCCCGAAACCCGUGGGCCGACCCGAAUAACCCGAUAAAAUUAGAGGGUUAGAGUUGAAAAAUCGCAACCCGAUUACAAAUCGGGCUAAUCGGGCUAGCCCGUUCGGGCUGUCGGGUUGAAGCGGGUCAGCCCGUCGGGUUGUCGGGCCAGCCCGUCGGGCUAUUGAAUUUUUUUUAAAAAAAAAAUCAAAAAUGAAAUAUUAUGAUUUUAGGCUUGUAGCUUUAAGGUUUGCUUCAGAAUUUCCCUAUUCAGCGGCGCGCCUCCAAGUUCCAACUCUCCAAGUUCUCCAACACUUCCACCGUUCACCGCUUCCGAUCAUCCAACGCCGUUCAUCGCCGUUCGGCGUUCACCGUUGAACCACGGUCAGCAGUUCAGCUCGCCUCUGCAGCCGCGGAGUCCUUCGUUUGCCUCUCAUCUGCCGCCAUUUGCCACCACCGCCUCCAGGCUCCAGCAACCGGUCCACGUCGUCGGCUCCUCCACUCGCGACAGUCGGCAUUUUUGAUCCACCUGUCACCACCGCAGGACAGCCCAGAAGCCAUCACAUCCACCGCUGGCGAGCAACAGUAAAAACGGUGAGUCUUUUUUUAAUUCACCUGAUUAUUUCAUUAGAUGUAGUCAUCCUCUGGUGCGUUGAGAUAGUUGUGAAGAAGAUGGGUCAAACUGGAGGUCAAAGAGCCGCGUGCCAGCAGAUCCUCUGCUAAUUUCACCUGAUUAUUCAUUAAUUAUUAAUAAUCUCCAUCUCUCUCUCUCUCUAUAUAUAUAUCUAAUUAAAAAUAGUAUAUAUGAAUGUAUGAUGAUGUAUAGUAAUUAAUUAAAAAAACCUUAGGCUCUGAGAGCUCCGACGUCUGAUUUGAGGACUCGAUUGUUGGUGGCAGCAUUUUUGCACUUUAUGUUAAUUACAUUUUCACUUAUAUGAAUAUAUGUUUCCAGGGGAUUAUUAUAAUAAUAUUUGUGUCUUUACCCGAUUCAUGAUUCUUCUAUGUUAAGGCUUUCAGUCUACAACUUUUAUGUUUUUUAUUAUGACAAGUUAUAUUUAUUUAUUUAUUUUUAAAUAUUUGAAUGUAUUCAUAUUUCAAAAUUAUACAAAAUUAUUCAUAUACAAUUAUUUUUGUUGUAGGAAUACAAAAGUUACAAAGGUGGAACUUCCGAUUCAAAAUCUCCAACCCGAUGGGCUAGCCCGAAACCCGAACGUUUAGGGUUAGGGUUGAAGAUUUACAACCCGAAAAAACCUCCAACCCGAUUAGCCCGCACCCGAUUAACCCGGAACCCGAUAGGGCUAGCCCGAAAACCCGAUGGGCUGGCCCGAUUGACAUCCCUAAGGAUAGCUAUCAACUGCUCAAGACCCGAAUUCGAUUACAUAAUAACUGGCAAAGCCACAUCAGAUAGAUAUCAUACUGAAAUUGAAACAUUUUAUGGCAAGACAAUACUUGAAAUAACUUCAACUCAAAGAUUUUGUCAUGAAAUAACUUGCUUGAACGUAACAUUUAAACUCAUUUGAUAUAUAUGAAAGUAAUGCCCACCUGAUAAGCGAACCUUUGCUAUAGCUUAGUGACUCCUUAUUAGCUUUUACUGUCGCGCUUGACCUUUAAUGCGAGAACGUAAGGUCAAACCUUAGCUCAAGGAUAAUUCUCAAAUAAAUGAGAAUGCGUAAAAUAAAUAUGCAUGACUCAAUAUUCCCUUAAUUAUUAUAUUGAGAUAAUAAAUCAUAUUAAAAUUCUUAUAAUAAUCUAAAAUAUAAGCUUAAAACUCGUCUUAUGGUAUACUAACUCGCUUAAUUAAUAACCUCAUUCUAAACUAAUCCAAUUAGAUAAAUCGGUCCACUUAAAAACAAUAAAUCGGCCCAACCAGAAGCCCAUCUCUAAAAAAAAUCAACUUCAGCCCAAGUGAGGUCCCUCAUUUUGCUCAAACACGGUUUCUCCCUCUCUCUGAAAUGUCUCUGCGCCAUCUCUCUCUCUACGCGAGUUCUGCCACCACCUGACCGGCGAGGCCGCGCCUCGCCUCUGAACUCCGCCGAGUCGGCGUCCUCAUCCAUGUCUCUCGUCUUCUCCUAUUCUAUUCACUCUCUCCUUCUCUCAUCCACUUCUUCUUAAUUCAAUUCCUCAAUUCUUUGAUCUAAGCCCUAGUUUUCCCUUUAAUCAUAGACCGCAGUCACCGCCGCCGUUGAAGGCCCGGUGAGACGGACGGUCGUGAUUCCGUCUCUUCUCAUUUCUCAACAGGUUCACCUCUUCUCUGCUCAAGUCAGAAGAGCCCUAGCUCUCUGUUGAUUCAGGCGAAAUCGUCGCGCCGCUGGGCUUCGUCUGCCGCUGCUCUGUGAACUGGCGGGAGUCGCCGUUGGCGUCGCGCUGCCUUUGCCCUAAAAUUGGCAAGGCUGUUGCUCGACGCUCCGCCUCCUCUAUUGGGAACUACCGCCUCCCUGUAAGGUCGUUGGAAGCUGCCCCGUAAGCCGAGGCCAUCUUCCGUAGUCGAGGGUCGCUGCGCCGCCGUUGCUAUUUGUUCGGCGAAUCGGAGCAGUCACUCGUAGCCUCGUCGACUCGCGUUGCUCGUCCACGCAGUCUCCGUUCUGUGCCCAACCCUCCCGGGGUCCGACCACAACCAACCUAACCCAGUCUCUCUCCCGGGAAGGACUCAACAGGUUCGUAAGCUUACAAAGCUCCAACUCUCGAUUGGUAAUGUAAUAGGCGAUUUAUGCAAUCACGUCUGGUGUUUGCUAAAGAACUCUAUUCUUAGCACAACUCACAUUAUUCUAUCCUUUAUACACAUGCUAUGGUUUAUUCUGUACCAUAGGAACUUAUGGUUUUUGCUAUGUCCAUUUAUGCGUAUAUUAUUCAACUCUAUAUUCUGAAUUUCUGAUUAAUCUAAGCAUGCUCUGUUGGGGUGUGAAAUAUGCGAACAUAGAGACUAACUUGAGAUCAGGGGCGAAGCUACGCCCCUGGGAUUUUAAAAAUAGUAGGGGUAUUUUCGUAAUUUUAUAUUAAAAAUAAAAAACAUAUAAUUUUAUCUACAUUAUUAUUAUGUUGAGCUAUUUUAAACUGUAAUUAGUAUGCAAUAUUUAGAAUUAAGACGUUUUGAAGAAGUGAACACAUAAUUAAUUUAUACAUAUCAUGAUUGGAUUGGAUUCCGGAUAUUUAUUUUUUUAAUUUGAUAUUGAAAGCUACUUUGUCUUACAAAGUUUUAUGAUAUUUUUGCAAAUAAAAUCACAUUCUAUUUCAAAUUUGUAAUUUUAACGUAACUUUUGACUGUGGCGAAUUAAAUCACUAUUUUUUCAAUUUUUUCAAUUACGUCCCCUAUUUUUUUUUUCGAUCGUCAGAGUGUUGAAUUGCAGCUCACGUGGAUUAGUAAAGACGACGUCGUUUUUGUGAGGCCUAAACGACGUCGUUUCGUAUAAUUUCAAAUAAUUUUUUUUCCAAAUAAAAGAGACAGUAUCUUGUAUUUGCACCAUAAUUUUUAAUAUGUAGUAAUUUUAUUGCAAAAUACAUCGUAACACGAAUAUUAUAUGGAGAAAUAAUUCACACAAACUUCAAGUUAAUAAUUCGACAAUCCAAAAAAUUGGGGGAUGAAAUUGCAAAAAUUAAAAAAGAUGAGUGAUUUACUUUGCCACACUUUCAAAGUUACAUUAAAAAAAAUUUGGACCCCCCUGAAUCGAAAGUCUAGCUCAGCCCCUGCUUGAGAUAGUAAAUACCUUGAUUGUUUUGUCCUUUUCGCUGUCUGUUGCGCUAUUUGAGUUUAAAGAGGAGAUAGCUGAAAAUUUCAGAUGUUGUUUAUUGACAUAUGCCGGAGGAAUCAAGAAUGAACUGGUAGAAAACUUAAGCCAAAGCUUACCUGUUCUAAGUUUGGCAGCAAUUGAAGUCUCUCAUUCCUUUGGUUGUUGAUGAACUAAGGAAUGAAUGAAAGGGCUGAUAGCCGUAAAGAAUCGAAUAUGGUGAAGGUGGUGAGUAGCUGAGGGGAUGGGAUGUCAUAGGGUGGCUGAUUGACUCUCUAGGUGUACCUUGGGUAUGGCUUUGAAGCUGCUCUAGCUGCAGAGAAGGGAUGGGAGCUGCUGUUGCAGCUGCCCUUGUACAGCACGUCCUCCCCCCCCCCCUCUUUUCUUCUCUCUUUGCCAUUUUUUUCCUCCUUUUGUUGCUACGUGUACAAGCUAGAUAGUAGGAGUGAAGUUGUAAUGUAGCUAGGAAUAAAUCCUUCUGUCUUGUAUUUAAUCUGAAUAUAGUUAUGAGUUUUGCUAAUAUUGCUUGUUUGUAAUCGAAUACUAGUUACUCUAAUAAAUCCCGUAUCUGCUAAUUCUAUAUUAAACCCGUAGAUUUAAUUCGCU
rnacentral:lncRNA from 1 species